CCUACGGGGGGCAGCAGUGGGGAAUCUUUCACAAUGGGGGAAACCCUGAUGCAGCAACGCCGCGUGAGUGAAGGAGUAUUUCGGUAUGUAAAGCUCUAUCAGUAGGGAAGAAGAAAGACGGUACCUGAAUAAGAAGCCCCGGCUAACUACGUGCGAGCAGCCGGGGUAAUGCGUAGGGGGCAGGCGUUAUCCGGAUUUACUGGGUGUAAAGGGAGCGUAGACGGCUGUGUAAGUCUGAAGUGAAAGCCCGUGGCUCAACCGCGGAACUUCUUUGGAAACUGUAUGGUUUGAGUACUGGAGAGGCAGGUGGAAUUCCUAGUGUAGCGGUGAAAUGCGUAGAUAUUAGGAGGAACACCAGUGGCGAAGGCGGCCUGCUGGACAGAAACUGACGUUGAGGCUCGAAAGCGUGGGGAGCAAACAGGAUUAGAUACCCGAGUAGUC
rnacentral:rRNA from 1 species